AUGCAAGGUAUGGGCCUUGCCAUCCAACAUUCGAACUGCCCUGUGGUGGUACAGUCUGACUCCUCUCAAGCGUUGUCGUGCUUGACCUCGGGUGCAUUGCGGCGAUCUGCAUAUGGCCAUUUAGUCUUGGAGAUUCUACACUUAGCUGGUACUAGGGAGUUUUUACCUCAGAAACUUUGUCGUUCUCAGAAUAGAGUUGCCGAUUGUUUGGCGAAGUAUAGCCGUACAGAGCGUGCCACCGCUGUUUGGCUUCGCGCGGCUCCACCAUGUAUCGACGACUUGUGGCCUCUCAACUGUAACUCUAUGAAUUUGCAAUAA
rnacentral:rRNA from 1 species